rnacentral:rRNA from 1 species
CCGGUGGCGAAGGCGGCCCCCUGGACAAAGACUGACGCUCAGGUGCGAAAAGCGUGGGGAGCAAACAGGAUUAGAUACCCUGGUAGUCACGCGUAAACGAUGUCGACUUGGAGGUUGUGCCCUGAGGCGUGGCUUCCGGAGCUAACGCGUUAAGUCGACCGCCUGGGGAGUACGGCCGCAAGGUUAAAACUCAAAUGAAUUGACGGGGGCCCGCACAAGCGGUGGAGCAUGUGGUUUAAUUCGAGGCAACGCGAAGAACCUUACCAAGGCUUGACAUAUACCGGAAGGCCCUAGAGAUAGGGAGAUCUUUGGACACUGGUAUACAGGUGGUGCAUGGUUGUCGUCAGCUCGUGUCGUGAGAUGUUGGGUUAAGUCCCGCAACGAGCGCAACCCUUGUCCUAUGUUGCCAGCACGUAAUGGUGGGGACUCAUGGGAGACUGCCGGGGUUAACUCGGAGGAAGGUGGGGAUGACGUCAAAUCAUCAUGCCCCUUAUGUCUUGGGCUUCACGCAUGCUACAAUGGUCGGUACAGAGGGUUGCGAUACUGUGAGGUGGAGCGAAUCCCUUAAAGCCGGUCUCAGUUCGGAUCGAAGUCUGCAACUCGACUUCGUGAAGGUGGAGUCGCUAGUAAUCGCAGAUCAGCAACGCUGCGGUGAAUACGUUCUCGGGCCUUGUACACACCGCCCGUCACGUCAUGAAAGUUGGUAACACCCGAAGCCCGUGGCCUAACCUUUUUGGGGGGAGCGGUCGAAGGUGGGAUUGGCGAUUGGGACGAUGUCUAACAAGGUAACCGUAA